CCCUGCACUUACAAGCUGUGGAAGCACAUUUCUUGUGUGACCGCGUACUUUUUGUAGAACGGGCCAACGAGUUACGUUAAGUAGCAAGGUUAAGCACUUAAGGUGCGGAGCCGUAGCGAAAGCGAGUUUUAACUGAGCGUUCAGUUACUUGACGUAGACCCGAAACCGGGCGACCUACCCAUGAGCAGGAUGAAGCGAAAGUAAAAUUUCGUGGAGGUCCGAACCCACGAGCG
rnacentral:rRNA from 1 species